rnacentral:rRNA from 1 species
UACAGAGGUGGCAAGCGUUGUUCGGAAUUACUGGGCGUAAAGGGCGCGUAGGUGGCCUUUUGAGUCAGACGUGAAAUCCCCCGGCUUAACCUGGGAACUGCGUCUGAUACUGGAAGGCUUGAGUUCGGGAGAGGGAUGUGGAAUUCCAGGUGUAGCGGUGAAAUGCGUAGAUAUCUGGAGGAACACCGGUGGCGAAGGCGGCAUCCUGGACCGACACUGACGCUGAGGAGCGAAAGCCAGGGGAGCAAACGGG